rnacentral:rRNA from 1 species
GAUCAUGGCUCAGGAUGAACGCUAGCUACAGGCUUAACACAUGCAAGUCGAGGGGCAGCAUGGUCUUAGCUUGCUAAGGCCGAUGGCGACCGGCGCACGGGUGAGUAACGCGUAUCCAACCUGCCUUACACUCUUGGACAGCCUUAUGAAAGGAAGAUUAAUACAAGAUGUUAUCAUGAGUAAGCAUUUUCGCAUGAUUAAAGGUUUACCGGCGUAAGAUGGGGAUGCGUU